AGGGCAUUCCAAGGAAUAUAGAAGUUUGAUCCUGGCUCAAGAUUGAACGCUGGCGGCAGGCCUAACACAUGCAAGUCGAACGGUAACAGGAAGCAGCUUGCUGCUUUGCUGACGAGUGGCGGACGGGUGAGUAAUGUCUGGGAAACUGCCUGAUGGAGGGGGAUAACUACUGGAAACGGUAGCUAAUACCGCAUAACGUCGCAAGACCAAAGAGGGGGACCUUCGGGCCUCUUGCCAUCGGAUGUGCCCAGAUGGGAUUAGCUAGUAGGUGGGGUAACGGCUCACCUAGGCGACGAUCCCUAGCUGGUCUGAGAGGAUGACCAGCCACACUGGAACUGAGACACGGUCCAGACUCCUACGGGAGGCAGCAGUGGGGAAUAUUGCACAAUGGGCGCAAGCCUGAUGCAGCCAUGCCGCGUGUAAUGAAGAAGGCCUUCGGCUUGUAAAGUACUUUCAGCGGGGAGGAAGGCGAUUAAGGUUAAUAACCUGGUCGAAUGAACGUUACCCGCAGAAGAAGCACCCGGCUAACUCCCGUGCCAGCAGCCGCGGUUAAUAACCGGAGGGGUGCAAAGCGUUAAAUCGGAAACUUACUUGGGCGUAAAGCGCCACGCAGGCGGUCUGUCAAAGUCGGAUGUGAAAUCCCCGGGCUCAACCUGGGAACUGCAUUCGAAACUGGCAGGCUAGAGUCUUGUAGAGGGGGGUAGAAUUUCCAGGUGUAGCGGUGAAAUGCGUAGAGAUCUGGAGGAAUACCGGUGGCGAAAGGCGGCCCCCCUGGACAAAGACUGACGCUCAGGUGCGAAAGGCGUGGGGGAGCAAACAGGAUUAGAUACCCUGGUAGUCCACGCCGUAAACGAUGUCGACUUGGAGGUUGUGCCCCUUGAGGGCGUGGCUUUCCGGAGCUAACGCGUUAAGUCGACCGCCUGGGGAGUACGGCCGCAAGGUUAAAACUCAAAUGAAUUGACGGGGGCCCGCACAAGCGGUGGAGCAUGUGGUUUAAUUCGAUGCAACGCGAAGAACCUUACCUACUCUUGACAUCCAGAGAACUUAGCAGAGAUGCUUUGGUGCCUUCGGGAACUCUGAGACAGGUGCUGCAUGGCUGUCGUCAGCUCGUGUUGUGAAAUGUUGGGUUAAGUCCCGCAACGAGCGCAACCCUUAUCCUUUGUUGCCAGCGGUCCGGCCGGGAACUCAAAGGAGACUGCCAGUGAUAAACUGGAGGAAGGUGGGGAUGACGUCAAGUCAUCAUGGCCCUUACGAGUAGGGCUACACACGUGCUACAAUGGCGCAUACAAAGAGAAGCGACCUCGCGAGAGCAAGCGGACCUCAUAAAGUGCGUCGUAGUCCGGAUUGGAGUCUGCAACUCGACUCCAUGAAGUCGGAAUCGCUAGUAAUCGUGGAUCAGAAUGCCACGGUGAAUACGUUCCCGGGCCUUGUACACACCGCCCGUCACACCAUGGGAGUGGGUUGCAAAAGAAGUAGGUAGCUUAACCUUCGGGAGGGCGCUUACCACUUUGUGAUUCAUGACUGGGGUGAAGUCGUAACAAGGUAACCGUAA
rnacentral:rRNA from 1 species